GUAAAAGCAGAAUAGAGGAGGUAGUGUUUGUUUACACCUGGAGUGGCAAGAAAAGGCUCCUCCUUCGAGAGGGUCAAAAAGAAAAAGGAGACGAAUUCAAACUGCACGAUGGCAAACAGAGCUUCCCGAGGAGGAAUCCAUUGCUCAACCUGAAACCAAGCCCAGGACACUCACUGUUUGCCAGGAUCCUACCCUCCUUUUCAAGUUACAACUGGCAAUCACCUAGUUUCCUAUGCUUCUUGGAGAAGUGACCCAAUAACAAUAAAACAAAAAGCCAAGAUAUAAGUUGAAGGCAGGGGUAGAAAUAUUGUUGAAAAGAUGCUCAGACUGAUUCCCACUGCUAUUAAUUAACAAUUUUCUUUUUAACUUCACUCAGUAUUCCAAAUCUACGUCAAUGCUCUAAUUGGACAACAAAGGA
rnacentral:lncRNA from 1 species